rnacentral:tRNA from 1 species
UCCCUGGUGGCUCAGAUGGUAAAGUGUCUGCCUACAAUGCAGGAGACCCAGGUUCAAUCCCUGAGUUGGGAA